AAGAAAGUAAAUAAGAGCACACAGGGGAUGCCUUGGCUCUCAGAGGCGAUGAAGGACGUGAUAAGCUGCGAUAAGCACUGGGGAUUAGCAAAUAUGAAUUGAUCCGGUGAUUUCCGAAUGGGGCAACCUGGCUAGUUGAAGACUAGUCGUAUAAUACGCAAACCUGCCGAACUGAAACAUCUAAGUAAGCAGAGGAAGAGAAAAUAAUAAUGAUUUCCUAAGUAGUGGCGAGCGAACGGGAAAGAGCCCAAACCAGUUAUGUUACGGCAUAUCUGGGGUUGUAGGACUACGAUAUGAUUAUAAUGCAAUGAAGUGGAACAGGAUGGGAAGCCUGGCAAUAUAGAGUGAGAGCCUCGUACACGUAAGUACCAUUAGUCUAGUAGUAUCCUGAGUACCGCG
rnacentral:rRNA from 1 species